GACGAACGCUGGCGGCGUGCUUAACACAUGCAAGUCGAACGGUGAAGCCUUCGGGUGGAUCAGUGGCGAACGGGUGAGUAACACGUGAGCAAUCUGCCCUUGACUCUGGGAUAACUUCGGGAAACCGGAGCUAAUACCGGAUAUGACAUCUGGCCGCAUGGUCUGGGUGUGGAAAGAUUUAUCGGUCAAGGAUGAGCUCGCGGCCUAUCAGCUUGUUGGUGGGGAAUGGCCCACCAAGGCGACGACGGGUAGCCGGCCUGAGAGGGCGACCGGCCACACUGGGACUGAGACACGGCCCAGACUCCUACGGGAGGCAGCAGUGGGGAAUAUUGCGCAAUGGGCGGAAGCCUGACGCAGCGACGCCGCGUGAGGGAUGAAGGCCUCGGUCGUAACCUAC
rnacentral:rRNA from 1 species